CCGGCGGCUACCUCUAGCCUGGGAACCAACAUAUGCAGCGAGAGAGACCCAAGAAAUGGCAAAAAGACAAAAAAUAAAAUAAAAUAAAAUAAAAAGAGAAGACUAGGUGCAGAAGUCAAGGCGCCUCUGCGGAGGUGACACUGCAGCUGAGACCCAAGUGGAAGGGUGCCCUCAGCCGAGAGAAGAGCAGGUGCAAAGGCGCAGAGGCUUGCUGGCAGAAGCCGGGGCUAGGAAGGUGGAGUUUAGCAUUUGGGGGGAACUUGGAAGGUGUGCAAGAUAAGGCGCCAAGGCUUCAUCCCGGGGCUGGUGGACGGCGCAGGCGGGGAGGCAUUGCCAGAGCCUCCUGGCAACGGCAAGAGGGUGAGGUUUAGAGGCCCAGGACCAGGCAGGAGGCUGUUGGAGUAAAACCCGGCUCUGAGAGGGCCAGGGCUUGCAGGGUUUGUUGACUGCUGUGUACCUGCUUCCUUCCUUAUUGGAAGGAGGGGAGGAAGGUGCACCCCUGUCUCAGAACAGGUGGAACAGGUAGACUCAGCAGGGAAGAGAAGAGAGCAGAUCCAGGGUGUGUUCCGGGGAAAGGAACCACUGUGGUGCGGAGAUGGGCCAGAGAUGGGCACCUGGACGGUGCCUUUGAUACCUCAUCCUGGGUUGAGGGGUGUCUGAGGAGUCGGGGACAAAAGACAGGCAGGGGCAGCCUCCCUUUGGAGGCCUCUCUGCUGAGGCCUCUGCACACUCCUGGGAGGGGGCUUGGCAGGCGGAGUCAGUCCGGGUUGUGGUUCUCCCUCUGGAUUUAGAUUUGGGGAGUGGGGGCCAUUUAGAGAAGGUAUAUGACCUCGGCAUCAUGGUCACAUUGGCCAGGCCAGGUGGUGGUAUAAUUGUAACAGAGCCGCAGCCCUGGCCCUGCAACAAGCAGUUAAGGGGCCCAGGGGGUCGGUGUUGGGGAUGUCGUGGUCUUGCUGGGCCCUGCCUGCCGUGCGGGGAGUCAAUGAGGAGCCCAUGGCAGCGGGUCAGAGUCCCACACAUCCUGGGCCAAGUCGAUGUGUACCUGAAAGGCCUUGAAUCCAGAGCCGUUGUCCAGGGAGGUGGUGACAACCUAGGUGGGGAUGAGGCAGGCCCUGUGGUCCCACCGAGGCGCAUGGAGGAGGCACAGGCAGCUGGGCUGACAGCCCCUUCUGGGUUUUCUGUUGUUCAUGCUCCGAAGUCAUAGAAUUUGGCAUGCAUAUAACUUUCAACACAUUUUAUAUUAAAUCUAAAAGCAUGAUUUAGUCAGACACUUAGGAAUUUAAUCAAAUUUGGUUCUGAAUAUUGUUGAUUUUAUCAUCAGCUGUUGAGCUUUGAAAUCUAAGCAUCUGGGCUUUUGCCACUUUGAGAAGCAGCGGAACAUGUUUGGAAGGAACAUGAGAAAAUAAAACUCCAGUGGUCCCCAGACCCCAGCCUUCCAGGAGGCCUGGGCCUCUCCCCUCCCGGCCCCCAGUGGCAACCUGCUGAGGCCAUAGGGAUUGGGGGCCUCUGGGGGUCUCUGGCUCAGGUGCGAGGGAAGUGGGGGGCGGACUCCCGUGGACAGGGCAUUGGGCAGCUAGCCCCAGGCCUGGGGCUCCGCACCACGGGCAUCCUGUGGGCUCUGGCCCGUGUCCCGAGCCCACUUCCUUUUCCCACAGGGCCGAGGGCCACCUGCUUCCCAUGAGGGGCUGCCGCACGUUGAGAGCCUACUCGCCUCAAGGCUGAAUGUCCCCCUGCUUUAUCCGCUAUGGGCCUGAUGGCCUCUGCGGUGCCUGCCCUUGGAGGCUCCGGCCCUGCAGGUGUCAAGUCUGACUGGCCUGGGCCCUGGGACCUUACUGUCUCCGUGUGUUUGAGGAACUGACUGGGUUGAGGCCAGCUCCUCCCCAUCUGGCGUGCCUGCUCAUCCCCAGACGAUUGGUGGCCACCCUUGGACCUGCCUUCCAGCCCUCCGUCUGGGCACUGGCCUUGGCUCCUGCCCUGUCUUGUCUGCUGCCUUGUGAGACUGGGCCAGGGACCCCCAGACUUGCGUGGCCUCGGCUUCUCAUUGAGUCCUGGGGCUAAAGGUCUGGGAUUGGAAUUUGCCCAGACAGAAACUGUCCAGUUUGUCUUGCAACCAAAGGGCAAGGGCAGUCUGGAGUUGGAGGAGGGGGAAGAGGACCUUGGGAUAUGGCCACCACCAGCCCGGGGGGAACAAUUCCUGCGGGUUCUGGCUCUAGGGCAGCCCCCUGCCUGUGUUCUGGACAAAAACAUGGGGUGCCCUCCUCCCCCUGCUUCCUGCUCAGAGGCACCUUGGACCCUGGAAGGGGACCUUGAGGAGGGUUGCCUGCAGCUGGAUGGAGUGGGCAGAUGGAGGAGGGCUCCCUGAGACCUUGACCACCAGUGACAGAACGCCUAGCUUGCCUUCUCUGGAUCUUGACUUGGCCAAGAAAUAAACCCUUGCCUUUUUAAA